rnacentral:rRNA from 1 species
GACAGAGGGUGCAAACGUUGCUCGGAAUCACUGGGCGUAAAGGGCGUGUAGGCGGGAAGGAAAGUCAGAUGUGAAAUCCCCAGGCUCAACCUGGGAACUGCAUUUGAAACUCCCUUUCUUGAGUACCGGAGAGGAAAGUGGAAUUCCUGGUGUAGAGGUGAAAUUCGUAGAUAUCAGGAGGAACACCAGUGGCGAAGGCGAGUCCCUGGACAACUCCUGACACUGAGGCACGAAAGCUAGGGGAGCAAACAGG